rnacentral:lncRNA from 1 species
AACUCUAGACCUAUAAGACGCUAAGGAGCUGCAAUACACGGGAGGAUACACAAAAAUGAUACCUGAAAUGAGGAGACCUAAAAAGACGCCUAAAAAAGGACACUGAAAAGGGUCUGAGAAAAGGUGCAACGUAGAGGACCCCUCUCCCCCAGAUCGUCUUCUCCGAUCCCCCUCGCUUGUUCAUUUUCUUUGGCAACAAGAACCAAAAAAAGAGACCCCACCCCUUGUGACUUCGUCUUCUUCGCUCCACCCAUCGACCAUCCAAAAUUCCAUCUUCUCUUUCACUUUGAGAGGACUUAUAGCAGCCAUGAACAAGGGACCUUAGGCCAGCCAUGUCAAAUUUCUCCACAUUAGCAAGCAGUCUUUACACCCAAACACCAUUCCCCAUUGAUCUUCUUCAUCAUCAACCAAACAACUCGAACCAGCCACUGUUCGUCGGAAACCAGAUGCGCGACAUUACAGACGACCACCAUUGAAACUGGCAAACACACAAACACACAAAACUAGUGGGAAAUACACCAGAAAUAGUGACAGCACAUGAGAGUUUUCUAGUCUUCGAGCCAUUGGGGUCGUCAUCGAGUUUUCCAGUCCAAGUCCUUAUUGUCAAUUUCCCGUUGAAGUCGUAUGUACGAUCUCAUUUGGAGGGUCGAUUUCUGACUGUAAUUGUCACUUCAUUUCAAUCCAUGUAAUUGCUGCAUUUCAAUUAAUCAGAAAGCUAAUUUCAGGUUACGUCUCCUUUACUACAUAUUGGAUCUGAAUAUGAUUUGAGCUAGUAUUUGGGGUUGUAUUUCUCUUGUGGUUGUCUGCAAUUUUCUUGGCUUUGUAGUUGUUAGUAAAUCAUGAAUUGGCUAUGGAUGUUGUAUGAUUCAUUGAUAGUGUUAUCUAAUUUUCAAAUAUGAGCAAUGUGUGUUGUUGACGAAUUAAAAUUUGGGAGGAAAGCAUUGCCCUAUUCAUGAGUAUUUUCCUACUCAGCUUAGAGAUUUCUGAUGCUUUUAACAUGUCAAGUAUGCCAUAGAAUGGAAAAUUCAAUCGAGAGUUUCUUCACAAAAAAUUGUGUUGUGAUUUGUUGUGAGCUUUUUAGUGAUUUGGUUGAAGAACUUCGAAAUUUGGGGAGUGUUUUGGGGUAUUGUAAUAUGCUGUGAAAAGUUAGAUUUUUUAAAAAGAUUAUUGAAUGCGCCUGUUAAGUUAGAAUUAGGAAUGUGAUUGUUAUUUUAAAGAGUUAAUUUACUAGUUCUAUAAUCUUGAUUGGGAAUAACCCUUUAAUAAUUGAGGUGAGCUAUAUUAUAUAAUACAAAUAGUGUAUGACCCUAACCUUAAUUAAGAAUUUUAAAUGUUUAGAUGUAAGGUGUGCCUUCGCAAUUUGGUUUGAGUUUUCUUUUAAAAUUCGUUUUGAGGUGUGCCGUGCCAAAUAAAAUCUCAAAAAUACAUGGCCCUCAUUUGAUUAAUAUUUUAUCCUUAGAAAUCGAGGCCUUCCAUUUAGGGAAUUUUUCGUGGCCCUCGCAAGGUUAAAAACGCAUAGUUGCUUUAGGUACAUAAUUUAAAAUUACCUUCCAAAACUCGGGUGUGCAUAUCAUGUGAUCCAAAUCUAAAUCUUAACAACGCUAAAUAAAAUAUGUCUCGGACUGCGGGUGCAUUUCAUGUGGCAGGGUCCAAAUAACCGUUUACGCUGACGUUGAAAUCUUCCUUAAAAUGAUUAGAAGCGGUUUUAAAAUUAAAAUGUACAUAGGUUAAAAAGUAUUUUAAAAUCGGAUAAUUGGGCCAAUAAUAACAGUUGAGCAACCGUACUAAAAUCACGGAACCUGGGAAUGCUUAACACCUUCUCCCAAGUUAGCAGAAUUCCUUAUUCGAAUUUCUGUGUUCAUGGACUGUAAUACAGAGUCAAUCUUUUCCUUGAUUCGGGAUUUAAAUCGAUAACUUGGGACGCCAUAAAACUAUCUCAAGUGGCGAUUAUGAAUUUGUAAUAAAAUAAUCCUGUUUUGAUUGUCAUAAUAAGUUGGAAAAAACUCCCCUUAUACACUCCCUUUCAGGUGGCGUAGUAAAAAAGGAGGUGUGACAGCUCUGGUGACUCUGCUGGGGAUCGAACCCAGAAUCUCUUGUUCAGGGUUCAAGAAUUAGAGCUUAGUUAAAUUGUUAUAUUUUGCUUUAUUUAUUAUUUGAUUGUAUUACAUGUUUGGGCUUAAUAUGCUAAAUGUUGCUUUUACUGCUUUGAUAUUCUGUGAACUGUAUAUAAAUUACUACAAAACCCUUCUUCUCUCUGAGUCUUCUAAAUUAUGUGAGAAGGGUGCACUUCAUGUGAUUUCUUUUCUGUCUAGAGUCUAUCCAAGUUUAGAAUGAGGUUUGGACAAGUUGCAAAGCCGGUGAAGCUUUUGUAUUCCUGGUACGCUGGCUCCCCUCGGCUCGAGUUGUCCGUUGGGGUAAGCCAGGUCAAGAACAACAAACCCUAUUUUUUUAUACCUAGAAUAACUCAGCCUCAUGCUGGGUCCCUAGUAGAAACAUUUAUUUGCAUCACGUGCAUUUGACUUAGGGGACUCAACACAAGGGUAGGGUAUAUCUACGACAGGUGUACCUAAAAUGAAGACCACCGUGAUACAUCCUAUGUGCUACAUGUUGUAUUUUUUCAAGGAUAAAAGGAUCCUUUGAUAGACCAAUGAUAGUUGAGGGCAAACCAAAAAAGUGAAAAAAGAGAAAAAAAGAGAGGUUGAAGUUUGAAGAUAAAACGAGUAUGGCUCGAUUAUGUUUUCUAUCACAUCUUUAUUAAGAAAAAGACAAAAAAAUGAUGAAAAUUCAAAAAGUAUUUUGCACUUUUUCAUAUUUUCCGAAAAUCAAAAAUAAAAAAAAUUGGGAAUGAAAAUCCAAAAAUAGUUUAUAUGUUUCAUCAUUUUUCAAAACAAAAGACAAAAAAUAUGUCUUCUCUUAAUUAGUUGAUUUUUUGUUAUUUCUCGGCCAUAUCAAAUCUGCCGGAACUACGCAUAUUUAAUUCUCGUCUUUCGAGGUGUGAUACGUAUGUAACCCAGAUAGAGUUGGGUCUCCUAGUGAUAAUAGGUUCUUGGCUUUGCAGGGUCAAAGCCAAAUGUUGCAUUUUUAGUCACUUUUAACCACAUAGGUUAAUUCCAAAAAAAAUAACCACAAUCAUGUCUCAUAUGUGUCCAACUAGAAGGGUUAUUGUCUCAUAUAGUAUUCUAGGUCUUUAACUUUAUUUGGUCUAAUUUUCUCAUACAGGUGAGGAGCUGCU